UAAUUUGGGUUAAUUAAAAUUUGGCAUUUUCCCCCAAAGGGACAGCCCUAUGAGUAAUCACUCCAUAAUUCUAGGGUUUCUCUUUCCCCUUCGUUUGAAAAAACCUCUUUCCGAUGAACCCAAAAGAGUAGAGAAAGCACUCAAAGUACGCAUAAGGCUAUUUGAUACUCCUUUUUGGAUCUUCCAAAUUCAUAAUCUCAAGUCUUGGUAAGCUGAAAAUCUGCUACCUCGUCUUUUGUUUUCUAAAAAUCGUUUCUUUCCAUUUUGGAUGAUGUUGGUAUUGUUGGUUUUCUUGGGGUAUGAGCAUCAUUUCAGUAAGUCAAGAAAAGUAGCUGUAUUUUGGCAUAUUGUCUUAAGUUUGAGAAGCAAUUGAGGUUUCUGUACAAUGAGGGGAUUGGAAAAAAAAAGAAUCUUUAUUAUUUAGAAGAAGAAGAAGAAAUGACAGCAUAGAAAGUUGAUUUUUCUCUUAAUUUGGUUGAAAUAAAUAUUUUGGAUUGGCUUGAAAGUUGAAUUUGGUCCUUGAUGUAAAUUAUUUGAAAUGUUUCCUAUGUAUAAGUGGAACCAAAUAACUCAGUUUGUGAUCAUUUUUCAGUCCCGUAUUACUUGUGCUGAACAUGUAAACUAAAUCAAAGUAUUUGCUACUUAGUAUAAUUUUCAUUAGUCGCCAUCAUACCACUUCUAGACUAGGUUAAUGUAUAUUCUUAUUAUGAGAAGGGUUCAAUCGUCAACUUACAUCCUAUAAAAGAUGGAACUUGUUAGGUUCAUCCCUUAAAGUUCUUAGCAUUGAACUUAACUUAUCAUACUUUUGAAAUUAUGGAUUUAGAAUAUACUAUUUUAGUGUCAUGUUCCAUGUAAAAAUUACCGGAUCCGGUUGAACUUGUAGCUAAUAAGCUACAUCUGCUACUGGUGGUGUCGAAUGACCAUAUGAAAAAAAAACGAUUUUGCUAUGUAAUAAAGGACUCUUUGGUCAGAGGAAGCUAGAUCUACAAUUGGGGUUUUGCCAUCAGUUACUAAAAAGGGCAGCCUGGUGUACUAAGCUUCCGCUAUGCGCGAGGUCCAGGGAAGAGCCGAACCACAAGGGUCUAUUAUACGCAGCCUUACCCUGCAUUUCUGCAAGAGGUUGUUUCCACGGCUCGAACCCGUGACCGCUUGGUCACAUGGCAACAACUUUACCAGUUACGCUAAGCGUCUCAACCAGCUUCAUAUAAGCGAUCCCGGAGGCUCGUGCGUAGUGCCCCUUGUUCGGGUGCCACAAAAUGGAAUGCAUCUGUCCGCGAUGCAGCUUGUGAAAGGUUUCAAGAAAGGGGAACCUACAUUUCUUGCAACCUUGACGGGAAUCGUUGAGAGCUCCCUUGAGGCAGUAGCAUUCUCCCCUUCCAAAAUACUUGAUCAAGUGUCAACUUUUGAAGUCUGCACCAGAUAAGACAUCUAAGUCUCCAUAAAUGUUUAAUAAAUCCUCCACCAGCUUUCAAAGGAUUUGAUAAGUUAGUUGCCCUCGAACUUUGUGAAGUCACAAUUUCUUCCAAAUUUCUUGGAAGUUUAAUCUCUUACAGCCUGUUGCUCGAGCAGCUGGUGCUGCAAUCAAGUAUCUCCGAUCACAUUCAAAUUAAAGCUCCCAAGUUGAGAUCCUUUGACUUCACAGGCAGUUUAAAAUUAAUUCCUUAAUGGAUAUCCCUCUUCUUGCAAAACUUUCACUUGUAGAUAUAGAUGAGGGAGGAAGCUAUGAUACUGCCAAGUUUUUGAGUCUUUUCCUGCUCUCGAGCAUCUCCACUUGAAUUGUUAUAGUGUCCAGUUCUUAGCAGGCAAAGUACCAAAACAGCUCUUCUCUCCUCUUAACUGUCUUAAACGUCUUUACCUAUCUGACAUAUGUCUAGAUGGUGUAGACGAGGCUUCAUGUGUUCUUUGCUUGAUAAGAAGCUCCCCAUAUUUACAGGACAUUGAAAUUCAGGUUUUUCUUUCUCUUCUCUAUGCUCUUUCUGCAUGUAAUUGCUAGAGUGUCUUAUACACUUAUUUCAUUAGCAUUAAUCCUCAAUUUUAGCUCAAAGGGACAAACGUUUGUUAUUUUAUAGUUGUAUGAUUCAGCUUCUGGGUAUGAUUAUGUUAUGGAGGAGAUUGCUGGUCUAGAAUCUCGUGAAGUUGAAAGCUUCUCAGAUGUGACAUUGAAUCACCUGAGAUCUGUUAAGCUUACAGGUAUAAUAGGCUUAACUCCUGAAAUGGAACUUAUCCAGCUUCUCUUAGCCAAGUCUCCAAUGCUCAUCAGAAUGCUAAUCGAGCCCGGGGUAGGAGAUAAUUCUCCUGAAACAAGACUCAAGGUACUCGCAGAGAUAACAAAGUUUCGGCGGGCAUCAUCUAAAGCAGAAGUUGUUUAUAAAGUUGCAUAGAUUUCUAUCCAGAUUACGAUCCUGUUUAUCUCCACUUGUCUUUUGGCAAGACCAUGGUCUUUGACUAAAGAAUUUUGGAAGAUUAAGGUGGACAGACAGAAUUGAAUGCAGUUAUACGGCUGUGUUGUGGCUGUGUUUCUAUCAAACCAAAAGAAAAAGCUGUGUUUUGCCUUGUCUUACAACUUGUUUGGAUGAUUGUUAAGUAUUGUUUCAUAAUGCAUGUAUCGUAUCAUAUUGUAUUGUAUUGUACUGUAUCGUUUUGACGUAUACAAUGUUUGGAUAGAUUGUAUUUUUUG